GUGGGGUUGAAGCAAAACUGUAUGCACUGGGCAGCACAGGAGUAGGGGGAGGGGGACCACUCUCAGGAAACAGAGGUUGCCGCAGGGAUGGCUGUGAGUCGGUGGGGCAUUUGGGAUUUUUUUUGUCCGCAGACCAGACAGAAUAGGAGCCCAGUUUUGGCUGCCUCUUUUUCUUUUUCCUGAGAGGAAGGGGUUUUCCCACAUGGGACACCUCACGAAGAACGACUGAGAGAGAGAGACUGACCCAUCUCAGAGCAAGGUAUUCUGCUUUCAAGACUGCCUGUGGGAAAAAGGACUUUUUCAUUGCUGGCUGUGAGCACACGACUGCAAGCAGCUUUUGAACUGCCAGGACAGUCCUGCCUUUCCCCCAUCCCCUCCCUGGGUUGCUAAGGGUUUCUUCCCCCCACCUGGGGAACUGGGACUUUGUUUUGUUUCUUCUGAAAGUUUUUGAUUGCACCAUUUGUUGUUUAUUCAUAUUUUGUUAAUAAAAAGCUGUUUCUUUUCCUUUUCCACACUUUCACCUGAAGUUUCUUAAUUUCUAAGUUGUAAUCUUGUUAAACUAAGAAAGAAAGAAAGAAAGAAAGAAAGAAAGAAAGGAAGAAAGAAAGAAAGAAAGAAUGCUAAAGAGAUCACCAGUCCUGGCUCCAGUGUCAAUCCAGAUGGGGUGUCCAAUGUCCAGUGGGUGCCUGUGCAUGACAGGUUACAUUGGGGUUGCCUUUUUAUAGUUUUAAGUCUUCUCCACCAUGGAGAUAAGUUUGCCUCUUUCUAUUCAAAUUAGUUCCCAGGAUGCUUCACUUCAGGGACCUACCUUUCCAUCAGGUCCCAAGAAGCUGGGGACAGUCUUUCAACUCAGACGGGAGGGCAGGGGUUGGGUGAAAGCAAACUGUGGCCGGCACUCUACUGCCAAAGGAAUGAAGAAAAAUGCAUUUGCUAUGUCAAUGGGGGCAUACCACUUCUCUGCCUUAGACUCCAGUUCAUAUUGAAGUUCCAGCAUGUCUGGCACAGUGGCACUCAGCGAUGGGGUAACUUCAUUCAAGCCACAAUAGUCCACUGCCAAUCUCCAUUCUCCAGUGGACUUACACACUGGCCAAAUGGGGUUGUUGAAGAUUGAGAGAGUCUUCUGACCACUCCUUGGUUCUCCAGUUAGCUAAUCAUCUUAUGGAUGGGGAUCACAAAGUCUUGGUUCAUGUGGUAUUGUCAAUGGUGCACUGUUGUGGUGGCGAUAGUCACCUGCUGUUCUUCAACUCUUAGCAGUCCCACAUCAGAAGGGUUGUCUGAUAGGCCAGGAAAUGCAUUCAACUGUUUAAUCUCCUCUGUCUGUACAGCAGUUAUCCCCAAAGCCUACUGAUGUCCUUUUCAGUCUUAGAAAUACCCAUUCUUUAGGUAAUCGAUACCCAGGAUAUAUGGGGCCCCUGGACCAGUCACAAAGGAGUGUUUCUGCCACUCCUUCCCUGUCAAGUUCACUUCAGCUUCCAACACCAUCAGGUCUUGAAAACCCCCUGUCACCCCAGAAAUGGAAAUAGACUCCGCCACCACAUAUCCUAAUGGCAUUAGCAUGCAUUGUGCACCAGUGUCACCCCAAGUCUUGUGUUCUUGUGGGUCUGAUGUGCCAGGUCAUCAGAUCCACACAGUCCAAUAGACACAGUUAUCCCAUGUCUCUACCUGACUAGAGGCAGAGCACCUCCAGUGCUGGUUUUUGUAGUUGUGACUUUCUUCCUGUGCAUACAUCUGUGAGGUCCCUUCUGGAGGGUCAGAUAUGUCAUUGUCCCUCCUACCCUGUCUAGGAACUUGCCCAUGGGGAACCACAGUUUGUCUCAUGUGGUGCACUCCCUCUCCCUAGUCGGGGGAUACUGUUUUCAAAUAUCAGGGGCUCUAGUUUACACUGGUGAGACAUGGACAGUGCUCUUUCUAAACUCCUCUCUGAGUUUUUUGUGGUCACUUUUUACUUCCUCAGUUAGAGUCCAGAGGUCCUCAACCAAUUUCUCUACAGAAGAGAUUCAGGUCCCUAAGAGGGUGUGGACAAUAGAAUCAUAGAAUCAUAGAAUAGAUUGGGUUGGAAAAGACCUCCAAGAUCAUCAAGUCCAACCCCUGAUCCAACUCUAAUUACUAUAUCAUGGCACUAAGGGCCAUGUCCAAUCUCUUUUUAAAAACUUCUCAUGAUAUGGUCCGAGUUUAUUCAUCAUAAUGCCCACUGUCUCUUGGUUUUCCUUCCAGUGCAUUGUCACCAGGAAAUUAGAGUAUACAGGUGGCCCUGAGUGUGCAAGUUUCCACCACAUCUGUGAUGUACACUUGACCUUAUCAGGGUGUCUACUGAAUUGCCUGUCCCUUGCAAAAAGUACCUCUAAAAAUGUCAGUUCUCUCAGACAUAGGAUCCCUUCCUCCAUGGUCUUUCAGGAGCAAUGAUGCCCCUGCAGGUCAUCUCUGUAAAGCAAACCUCUCUUACACUUGUUAAAAGCCGAAUCCAGAGAUUCUCUCAUGAACCCCUGAUCAAUACACACAUCUUCGGACAGGGAUCCCUUGCUUUAGUAUCAUCAAGUUGCACGCUUUCUCCUGUAAGAUCCCAGGCUCAGAUCAACCAGGUCAAAUUGACCUCACUUGGUCAUCGAGCCAUGUCUUUCUGCAAAUUGUGGAGAUUAUCAAAUGAAAGAGAUUCAGUGAUUAUUUCUGGCUCUGGGUCUACUGUUUGUGAGGGUCCCAUGUCCCCAUUGUCAUCCACCAGUUAAAGUGAUUUGGUCCUAUAUUUUUUCCUUUGGAUAGGGGCAACUUCUAUUGGUUGGGGUUACCCUUCUGGCUUAUCUACACCCUGAGUGGCUGUGGUAACAGGUAUUUUGUUCUUUCCUUUCCUCCUGGACAAGUUGCACCAUACUGAGCAGCUUUUGGUAGGCAGUGGCCAAAGUCCUGCAUGCAACCACAAGCUACUCCUCCAUAGAUCUACCAUGGCACCUUUCCCUCACAGAUCUCAUCACUUUUAACAGGGUCCUGAAGUUGUUCAAGGGUGAACUUCUAGGUCAUUAGAGAAGAAAAGAUCUCCAAGAACCCAUGUCCUUCCACAACCCAUACCACUCAAAGCUAUCUACCCCUGGGGUGGGCUUCUGGACACAUUCCUGAGAGAUCUUGGUCCUAGCUUCAUACGUGAGAUAGACCAUAAUGAUGCAAAUUUGCAGACAUACCACAGAGUAAGGUAUCUCUAGCAUCUAGAGGGAAUUUAAACUUCAAAAGCUGUUGUAGCAGACCUGAAGAGAAAAUGGGUGAAGGAAAUGGGGAAGGUCAACAAGGUUGACAUCCUAAUGGGAGUCUGUUAUCGACCACCCAACCAGGAUGGGGAAGGGGAUGAAUUAUUCUACAAGCAGCUGGUAGAUGUCUCAAAAUCACCAGCCCUUGUUCUUGUGGGCAACUUCAACCUGCCAGAUAUCUGUUGGGAGUUUAACAUGGCAGAGAAGAGGCAGUCUAGGAGAUUCCUGGAGUGUAUAGAGGAUAAUUUCCUGCUCCAGCUGGUAAAUGAACCUACCAGGGGUGGGGCCCCACUAGACCUGUUGUUUACAAACAGAGAGGGGUUGGUGGGAGAUGUGGUGGUAGGAGGCCACCAGGGGCACAGUGACCAUGAAAUAAUAGAGUUUGCAAUACUCAGGGAUACAAGGAAGGCCAUCAAUAAAACCUCUACACUGGACUUCAGGAGGGCAGAUUUUGGUCUGUUCAGAAGACUGGUCCAGAGCAUAUCCUGGGAAAAAACCCUUGAAAACAAGGGGGUACAGAAGGGAUGGACGUGCUUCAAGAAGGAAGUCUUGAGUGCACAGGAACAGGCUGUACCAGUGUGCCAAAAGGCAAGCUGACGAGGUAGACGACCAGCUUGGUUGAACAGGGAGAUUCUGAAGGAAAUCAGGGAUAAAAAGAGAGCUUACAGACUAUGGAAAAUAGGGCUGGCUACUCAGGAUGAGUUUAGGAGUAUAAAUAGGUCAUGUAGAAAGAAAAUUAGAGAGACAAAAGCACAAUUUGAAGUCAAUUUGGCUACUUCUGUUAAGGAUAACAAAAAGCGCUUCUAUAAAUACAUUAAUAACAAAAGGAGGGUCAAGGAAAACCUCCAUUCCUUGUUGGACUUGUGGGGGAACAUAGUUAACAGGGAUGAGGAGAAGGCUGAGGUACUUAACACCUACUUUGCCUCAGUAUUCACCAGUAGGACAGGUGGCCCUCAGGACAACUGGUCUCUGGAGCUGGUAGACAGGGACAGGAAGCCAAAUAGCCCCCCUGUAUUCCAGGAGGAAAUAGUCAGUGACUUACUGGGCCACCUAGAUCCACACAAGUCCAUGGGACCAGAUGGGAUACAUUCUAGGGUGAUGAGGGAGCUGGCAGAAGAGCUUGCCAAGCCGCUCUCCAUCAUUUACCAACAGUCCUGGCUCACUGGGGAGGUCCCAGACGAUCGGAAGUUGGCAAAUGUCACGCAAGAACUAAAUUUAACAGUUUUUAUUUUUAAACUAAGUAUAAGAAAAUAAAAGUACGUAUAAGGUAUGUAUAAGGCCCCAAUAAGGUCUGGAGCCUGAUAUUUAGUAAGGACCUUGCUUUUUGUUACAAUCUGCUCAAAUAUUGCAGAAAGAAUUUCUGAUUCGAAUAUUCCUUUCAACAAAAUUAAAACUCACACAAGUUAUCUGUUGAUACCAAAAACUGAUUUUAUUAAUUGCUAAGAGAUGCAAAGAGAAAGAGGGAAAAAUAAGAAAAGGUUGGAAAGUGCUAAGAUUAUUUCUAGAAGCAGAGAAAGGAUUCCACCAAAAACUACCUUUCUGCCAUGCUAGUGCAAAUGGGGGGGGAGAAGUAGUUUUCUGCCUUUUUUUUUCUCUGUCUCCACUGCUUUUCAAUUUUAUCUCUUUAGCUGCAGGGGGUCUAACAGCUUUAUUUCUCUGGAUUGCAGGAUGUGUGGUUUCUUUGCUCACGUUACUUGCAACGAGCCGAGGCGCAUCCCAGGCCAUACAGGGUCUCAGUUCAGCCGCAGCUUUGGGCCCUCAGAAAAUAUGGUAAGGGUAGAAGGAUAAGAUAUAACUCACACAUGUGGUAUGGCAGGUCUCAGUUCUCUCCAGGCUGGCAGAGUUCCAGUCUCCCGUGGCAGGUAGGCAGCAUACGGUGGUGGAGAAGAGAUGAGGGGAGGUGAGGAGAGACUCCUGGGGCAACCAGUUCUUUCUCCCUUUCCUCUUCCCUGAUUUUCCAAAAUUUGUCCUCAAGUUUUAUAGUGUUCAAAGUACAUGGUUUCUUGGCACGUAGCCAGUUCAGAUGUCUGAGGAGAUAUGAUAACCAUAAACAAUGGCAGGAUCAAGGAUUGGACUUGAUGAUCUUGAAGGUCUCUUCCAACCCAGUUAAUUCUAUGAUUCUAUGAUUCUAUGAUCUUUUGGCAGGAAAACUCCAGCAGGAAGCUCUGGUGAGAGCUUCUGGCAGACAGCUGACAGAAUUUUUGGUAGGAAGUUUUGUCAGGUAGAAACAAUAGCAAAACAUAAUUGUUGGUAUUUCUAUAUUAUCUGUGUGUUACACUUUGAGAAAUUAGUAUUGUUCACAUUCAAUUUCAUUUUACUAGUUUACAGAACCAUCCUGCCUUUAAUUUUAAUAAUUAGUGUAAGACAUUACAAUUAUCAAAAAUAAAACAAGAUUAAAAGCUUCUUUAUGUCUGAGAAUUUGCUUCUUUUAGAAGUAAAACCAGGAAAUCACUAUAUGAAUUUGAGUUCUAAUUAAGAAUAUCAUAAAUCCAUCUCAAAAUAAAGAAAAAUUGGCUCUUGAAUGAUUAUAUACUAUGCAAGUGUAACUGCAAGUACAAAUCAGUUAAGCAAUAUUAUCAGGUGCAAUCCCUUUCACAAGCAAGCUACUAGACAGACAAAAUACUAACAAAUUUUUCAUGUUUUAACUUGGCAAGACAGCCACCAGUCUCUGAUGUAGCUAUACACUUACUUCCCAGGACCAAAUUAAUAACAUGCACAAAAUGGACAAUUACUUGUCUGAUUUUCUGAAACAGAACAACCGUAACUGUCUCAAUAUUUCACAGAAGUAUAAGAUUCCUGUUUUCAAGUUUUAGUGAUCCCUGGUAUAAAGUUGUAAUUUUAAAUGUCCUCAUUCUUCUACACAGCAAGAGACUCCACAAAAAUAGGUAUUGAUAUCACUCUUUUUAUUUUUCAGCCAGAAAUACAUUUUCAUAGGGCAUUUCAAUAAAUAAUGGUGUUUAUUUCUUAGACAAAACCUCCAUCUUUUUGGCACGACCAUAUUCUGUUUUUCAAACUAAAGACUACACAGGAAAAGUUUAUUAAAGAGAUCAUUGUUCAAUACAUGAAAUUUACAGAGGUGCAGAUAACUUUUUAAAAUACACAUCAGUUGUAAAUAUUCUAACAAGCCAGAAAACAUUAAGCAAACCAGUAAAAUAGUCUACUGGGGUCCUCUUCACUGCCUUCAGUUACAAUUGUACAGUAAGUGGCAGAAUGAAAAGAACUCUUCAUUUUCCACAAUGCAUGCACUGACUAGUGCUUGCUACUCAUCCUGAAGAAACAAGUCUCCUAAAUUGUACUAGAAACAACUGAUCAAAUAAGAUACAUUUCAAAACAUGAUCUUAAUUUUAACUUCAAAAUAUGUAAAGUAAAAUGAAGUUGCACGCUGCCUCAGUAAUAGACUGUACCUAAAAAUGUCUAGAAAUGUUUAAUUUUUAAACAUAAGUUACUAACAUGUUUUAAAGAUAUCUAAGAAUACAUCUGUCAACACUGCAUUGGAUGUCAUAUUUGGACAAAAAAAUUCUUAUGCAACAAAUUAAGCCAGUGUAUUCAAUCUACUAAUAUUCCAAAUACUUAUCCCAAACUCAUUUUAUAAAAAAGAGGAGGUAAAACAAUUACUUCCAUACAGAAACAAAAAAUAAUGUAAUAGCUUUGAAGUAGCAAAUAAACAAAGGUUUAUUUUAUGAGUUAAUUUCCUUGUCACCACCAAUGCAGACCCAGUUUCCAAAUGUUUGAAUAGAAUGUUUUAAAAUAACAGGUGAUCCAAUUUAGCCAAGCUCACAUUCAUUCCCAUGAUGUCAUACAUACAUUUUAUUGUAGAAUACAUUAAGAAACAAAAAGAUAGCUUGAGUACUUAUGCAAGAGCAAUUUCUAACAUCAAGCCAAAAUUAGCAACAACCAAGUAGACCUUCAAUUUUUCAGUAUUAAAUUACCAUUAAUACUAGAUAACUGUAAAAAAAAAAAAAAACCACAAAAAACAAACCCAAACCCAAAAAACAAAAGCCUUUUCUUUGUUAAAAGAUGUUCAAAGAAAUAUCCACUAGCUACAGCCAAAUUUGUAUUAGAAGCUGCUUGCUCUGGAAAGAUUUUUCCCUCCAUUUAUAACACAAUGUAUUGUCAAAAUCCUAUUCAAAUUAAUUACUUUCUGAUAACAUUUAGGUUAUAUCACCUACAAUGUGGACAGUCAUGUACAGUAUGACAGUAUAUUUUUGCAGCAGAGAAAUAAACAAACUGGUUCUAAAUUCUAGAUUAUACUUCAUAGUUCAUGUAUUGUUUCUUGCAAACAUACGGUCGGUCCCCUCUAAGGGUAAGGUGUUGAAGCUGGUAUUGUAGCAUGUCUGUGUCAGCAGGUUCCUCAAUGCUCAUUUUGUCUAAAUUGAGGUAGUCCAGGGAUUUAGAAUGAGCCUUUUUGCCUUUUAAAAGGCAAAGAGGCAGGGGACCAUGAAGUGCCUUGUAAGGUUCAUAUGGUAAAGCCUUAGUGCAUUUAUCCCCCGAGCUGGGCAUCCGUCUCCUCCUCCUCCCCUUUAUUGCUGGGAUCUCGUAUGGUUGAUAGCAUCUACUUCUAGUUUUGUAUAAACGGGAGGAGCAUGCAAGUCCUAAAUCGAGCUGUUUAGAGUGCAAGUUGGGCCCAGAUUUCCCUUUAUUAUCUUCAUUUCCUGUAUACUUUUGAGCUAAUUUUAGCAGCUCCUCUCCAGUCGUGAAUCCAAUCAGGUAGUUAGAAUCCAUACGAAGGAUCCGAUAGCCUGAAAUUGUCUGUCGCAUUGGUGAGCAGGGGGUGCUGGAACAUCGUGGCUUCUCUGCUUCUGUUUUGCCUGCAGAACUGAUCUCUGCAAAAGGUACAGGGAGGGUAGAUAGGGUAGUUCUGGACUUUCCAUUUAUGUCCAUUUUAAGCAAUGUGCUAUUCUCCUAAAAACAAAACAGAGAUUGGUCACAAAUAGAGUCCUUAACCAUUAAAGGAGCUGAGAGAGAAUCUCAGAAAUUAAACAUCACCCAGAAACCAUAAUCAGUACUUCUCUAUUCUGUCUUGCACUCUACAGAGUGUCUCAUAACAAAACCAUCAGAUAUCUGGCCUUUUAAAAUUAUUUUGGUCCCCUUUUUAAUAACAAAUACUAUAAAUAUACUUGAUAUUCUUAAAUAUGCCAAAAACAUAUUCUUGAGUAGCACUGUACAAAAAAAUUAGGUACCUUUCCACUCUAUUUUUUAAUCCUUUUAGUCUAUUUGAUCCUUUAUAACCCCUUUUCUUUGAGGCCAUCUACAUUAAUUAGCAUAUCCAUAGUAACUGCUGCUGUACUCAACUGCAUAUUUUUUCCAAAGUUUCCCUGGGGUGGGUUGACCUUGGCUGACUGUCAGGUGCCCACCACGCUGCUCUAUCCCUCCACCUCCUCAACUAGAAAGGGGGAGAAAAUACAAGAAAAGUCUUGUGGGUCAUGAUAAGAACAGGGGAGAUCACUCAGGAAUUACUGUCACAGGCAAAAUAACUUGGGGAAAUUAAAUUAAUUUAUUGCCAACCAAAUCAGAGUAGGAUAAUGAGAAAUAAGAACAAAUCUAAAAACUCCUUCCCCCCACCCCUUUCCUCUUCUCAGGUUCAACUUCACUCCCAAAUUAUCUACCUCCUCCCUCCCAAAGGGCAUAGAGCAAUGGGGAAUAGAGGUUGCGAUCAGUUCAUAAUGCAUUGCCUCUGCUGUUACUUCCUCCUCGUGUUCUUCCCCUGCUCCAGUGGGGUGUACCACCCACGGGAUACAGUUCUUCACAUUCUCCAACGUGGGUCCUUCACUGGGCCACAGCUCCUGCCAGCAAACCUGCUCCAGUGUGGGCUCCUCUCCAGGGGCCUGUUCCAUCAUGUGCUCUCCAUGGGCUGCAAAUUCCUUUAGGGCACAUCCACCUGCUCUGGCAAGGGGUAACCCAUGUGCUGCAGGGUGGUUAUCUGUUCCACCAUGGACAUCCAUGGGCUGCAAAACCACUGCAGCCUGACUUUGAGAAUGACUGCUGUGUGAGAGAAUGCAUGUAGCUUGUUCAGAUGAUUGACAGUCAUAUGAAAGACUGCUAGCUGACAGGGAAGAGUUUGCAUGUGGCCAAUGGCCCAGGCACACUUGGAUUAAAUAUCUAUCACCACUAAUAUGUACUUAACACCAUCAUUGUUUUUGAAAAACUAUUGUAUAGCUACCAAGUCUGCUUGCCAUUGUGCAUCCACCUCUGCCACAAUCAUCUUUCUUCUUUUUAAGUGCUUUCUUGCUUCCUAGUAGAAGCUGCAAGUGUCCUGGCUUGCAAGCCAGGUUGCCACUUGUUUUCUGUUCAGAUCAGCCAUUUGCCUUUUAGCAGCUUCAAAAAGGGGAUUUGUACCCCCAAAGCUUCAUAGAAUCAUAGAAUAUCCUGAGUUGGAAGGGACCCACAAAGAUCAUUAAAGUCCAACUCCUGGCCCUGCACAGGACACCCCAAGAGUCACACCACGGGCCUGAGAGCGUUGUCCAAACACUUCUUCAACUCCGUCAGGCUUGGUGCUGUGACCACUUCUCUGGGGGAACCUGUUCCAGUGCCCAACCAACCUCUGGGUGAAGAACCUUUUCCUAAUAUCCAACCUAAACCUCCCCUGACACAGCUUCAUGCCAUUCCCUCAGGUCCUGUCACUGGUCACCAGACAGAAGAGAUCAGUGCCUGCUCCUCUGCUCCCCCUCACGAGGAAGUUGUAGACUGCGAUGAGGUCUCCCCACCUUAUAGGUGGAGAGACAGUACAUCUCCCCAGAAGACAGUAAAUCUCUUUUAACAGAAGUGGCUUUGCAGAUGUGUACUGACAUGCUGCACACACACAUAUGAAAGGAAACCCUGAACAAUCAAUUUAACUCAAGUACAAAGAAACUUUGUUAACAAGGUAUGAGGAGAGUUCCUAGAAUCAUAGAAUCAGCCAGGUUGGAAAGGACCUCUGAGAUCAUCAGGUCCAACCCUUGAUCCACUACCACUGCGGUUACUAGACUAUGGCACUAAGUGCCACAUCCAGUCUCAAAACCUUCAGGGACAGAGAAUCCACCACUUCCCUGGGCAGCCCAUUCCAAUGCCUGAUUACCCUCUCUGUAAAGAAUUUCUUCCUAAUAUCUAACCUAAACCUCCCCUGGCAGGUUUAGUUGGUUGCUAUUCAAGUGUUCUCCAGGAAUUUUUUCUCCCCUGCUCUCCAAACAUUGCCAUCUCUUCUAUGCCCUUUGUUGUUUCUUCAGCUGCUAUAGGCCCAGACAAAAAACACAGAUAGAUAAUACUACAAUUUGACUUCUCCCUCUCCAGUCAGUUGGAGCCGUUUUGUAUGUUCUAAGGAUAGCAUCAAUCUUGGGACAAGGAAAGACAUAUAGCACCAGCCUGCGCCCCAUAACUGUCUCACAGGUAGCUGCAAGAUCCUCCCAACCAUGGGCAAAGGUAGCUCUCCCAACACCAUCACCCACCCUCUGUGAUACUUGCUUCAAAACCUAGUUUGUGAUUCAUGGGCCCAUUGGCCAGUUGUUCUGGUUUGCACAGUCUUUUUAAUGAAUCCCUUAUGCUCUUUUCCUUACUGUCCCCAUGCACAUGUUCUUCUAAAGUUCACAUUUUGUUCUGGCUAGUCGUUUCAAUGAACAAUGACUGUGCCUUACAGGAUCACACAAAGCCCAAAGUUUGCCCCAGUAACACUGCAUAACCAUCAUCCUGGUGGGCUGAGCCCAAAUGCAGAAGCAUCUCAAUCCAGCUCAAAGGACUGAUCUCUUCUUGGCACAUGACAAGGGUCCCUUGAUGAGAAUAUGUGGGUACUGGUGAAUAACAGGAGCAAAGUUCCAAAUUUCAAGAUAAAGAACAAAGUGGUUAAACAAUGGAAGUAAUAACCAAUAACUACAGGAAUAUAGCAAAUUGUAAAUUAAGACAGAAAUCUAAGUCUUUGAUGGGGAAAAACAAAUAGAUAACACCUUCUUUUAUUCAGGCUGUUGUAAGCAGAGCCAACCCCCCCAUUUUGAUCAGUUCUGUGGUGAGAACUUGCCCUAGUGAUGAACUUUGCUCAUUAUAAUAUUAUAACAGUAAAAACCACACCCCUAGCUCGGAUGCCCCCUGCCCACAGAAAGACCACCACUCACCAAGUAUGCACCAUGAUUUCUUGUAACUCUGUGUCUUUAAAUCGAAAUGAAGAAAGGGUGAGCCAAUAGCAACCUAGCCAAGUAGUGACUUAUGCAAGAUAUGCUGAAUGCCUAAGAUUGUAACCAUGUAAGUCUGCCUACUUUUUCUUUAAAAAAAUAAAUGCUAAUAUAGCAAUAAAGUCUUCACAGCUUUUCUGUUGGUAGUAAAUUAUGUUGUCAUGCCUAAAAAUAAAGAUCUGCAGAGAUUAAACAAAAACUAUAUUAUACUCAGUCUUUUUCCAGGGACAGCUAUUCAAAGACAGACACUACUUUUAAAUGGGAUCUACUCUUGAAGUUAUUAAAAAAAAAAUACCACGUUUAAUCAACACAGUUUAGUUUGGGGGUUUUGGGGGAUGGUUUUUUGAGUGGGUUUGUGUGUCCCCCAACUGAAGCACUUGAAAUAACUAGUUCUUUGUCUUAAUGUGACUGUGGUGGGUUAACCUCGGCUGGACAACAGGCGCCCACCAAGCUGCUCUAUCAUAUCCUCUCCUUAACUGGACAGAGGGGAGAAAAUAUGAUGAAUGGCCCAUGGGUUGAGAUAAGGGAGAUGACUCAGCAAGUACUGUCACGGGCAAAACAGACUUGACCUGGGGAAAUUAAGUAAAUUUAUUGCCAAUCAAACAUCAGAGUAGGAUAAUGACAAAUAAAACCAAGUCUUAAAAUAACUUCCCCCCACCUCUCUCUUCUUUCUGGGCUCAAAUUCACUCUUAUCUUCUCUACCUCCUCCCACUAAAGAGUACAAGGGAACGGGGAAUGGGAUUUGCAGUCAGUGCAUCAUAUACUGUCUUUGCUGCUCCUUUCUCUGCACACUCUUCCCCUGCUCCAGCCUGGGGUCCCACCCACAGGAGACAGUCCUCCAUGAAUUGCUCCAGCAUGGGUCCUUUCCACAGGGUCACAAGUCCUGCCAGGAACCUGCUCCAGCACAGGCACUCCACAGUCACAGUCUCCUUUGGCCACACCUAUAUGCUCCACCAUGGACCUCCAUGGGCUGCAGGGGGACAGCCUACCUCAACGUGGUCUUCACCACAGGCUGCAGGGGAAUCUGGUCCAGCACCUGGAGUACCUCCUCCUCCUUCUUCACUGACCUUGGUGUCUGCAGAGUUGUUUCUCUGACAUAUUCUCACUCCUCUCUUCCAGCUGCUAUUGCACAGCAGUUUUUUCCCCUUCUUAAAUAUGUUGUCACAGAGGCACUACCACCAUUGCUGAUUGACUCAGCUUUGGCUAGCAGUGGGUUCAUCUUGGAGGUGGCUGGCACCAGCUCUAUUGGACAUCCGAGAAGCUUCUGGUAUCUUCUCACAGAAGCCACUGUUGUAGCCCCUCCACUACCAAAAUUUUGCCAUGCAAACCCAAUACAGCAACAUUAUCUGCAGCAGGUACUGUUUCUUGGCAAGGUGCAUCUCAUUUCAUUUACACCAUUUACACUUCAGAAGAUCCCUUCCUGAAGCUUAUUAAAACUAUGUAAUAAAAUGACCUUUCAAGUUUUACUCUCUGCCUCUUUCUCAAAUGUCCCUCCCAAAUCUUAAGUUCUACCUAAAAGUUAAUGUUCAUUUACAUGCAAUGCCAGUAUGGGACCAACAUUAAUAGAAGUCCAACAGCUCACUCAAAUCUAAGAAAUAUGAUUUACACUUAUAAAUAAUGACAAGAGAAAACAGAGUAAGAGUCAUUUGGAUUGAAAGGGACCUUCAAAGAUCAUCCCCUGCCAUGGGAAGAAACAUCUUUCGCUAGAUCAGGUUGUUCAGAGCCCCAUCCAACCUGACCUUGAACACUUCCAAUUACUGGACAAACAGUUCAUGUGAUUUCACUAUAAUAUAGUGCAUUUGCACCUGAUUAUGCAAGUCUGAUGGCAAAACAGGCAAGAUAUGGCUGUCUACUUUCCUGAAUUUCAGAGUCACUGCAAGCACUACUCCCUCCUCCAACCUCCUAACCACUCUCUCAAAAACAACAAAACAAGAAAGACCCCAAAACAACAACAUACCACAUAAGCCAGAAUGUGUUUCUAAAUACACCACCAGCAGAAAGAUUAAGUUGUGUGGUAGAAAGAGAAGUUUUCAAUAAAGGAAACAAAGAAUGGAAAAGGAGGGGGAAAUCAGUGCUGCACAUUUCUACUUCUUAUGUCUCUUUAUGGGAAUGUUUCAAGGAAUUCUAUUCUAUUCAGAGCUAUGUCAGUGUCGUGGUUUUGCUCUGGGUCAAUUUGCUCUCACACCCCACACACAAUUACUAUAAGUUGAGAGAAGGUUUAUGCAGACAAAAGAGACUUGAUUAGGGAAAAUAAUAUGAACAUUUAUUACUAGCAAAAUAAAAACUAAAGAACUACAUCUACAAUAAUUCUACUCAAGUAAAAGUACUAUGUAUUUACAGAAAUACUUCUCCCCCCUUUAUAUCAGUCCAAGGAGGAGAAGCAGUCUCUUUCUCCAUUCUCGGAGUUCCAGGUCUUUUCAAUAACUCUGCAGCACUGUAAAGUUCUUCUGUUAUCUCAGGACGACAACUCCUUUUCGUCGCAGCUGGAACUCUUUCUCUUUCUCUCUCUUUUCUAUGUCGGCCUCCAGGGCUGGGCCUACCCCUCUCCUGGGCUAAGACCGGAGGCUGGGGGGUUACUCAGGCCCUGAAGGGUCUUCCAUGGGCUUGCAAGGGGACACUUGCUUACCAUGGAUCUUCACCACAGGGUCACAGGGGAUAAUGGCUUAUGAGUCCACCCCUGUUUCCUGUGAGGUUCCUCCCCAUGGGAGAAAAGUCUUUGAUAGACCUCUCUGACAUGGGUCUAGCACGGAUCCCUCACUUGGAUCCCAAGCUUACCCAAGCUGUUCUCACUCCAGCGUAAGCUUCUUUCUCAGGGUCAUAAAUCUUCAGCAGCAGCAUGGAUCCCAUACACGGAUCCCCACAUCUCACCCGGGCCGUACUCACUCUGGCAUAGGUCUCGUUUCUCUCAUGGUCACAAAUUUCCAGCACCAGCAGCAUGGAUCUCUCACUGAGAUCCCAAGUUUACCCGAGCCGUUCUUGCUCCGGCGUAAGUCUCGUCCCUCUCAGGGUCAUAAAUCUUCAACAGGACUCUGCCUCAUUUCAGUCCUUCUCAUGAAGUCUCAGCUUCCUUGUACAUCCACAAGCUCCUUUGUGAGCCGCAUGGGGGUCUCCUCACCCCAACAAUCUUCCAAAGGUAGAAGGGAUUUAUUUUUCAGUCUUUUCCCAGCUGAAGGGAGAGAGCGAAAGGAGGGAGAAACAGCCCCCCCUUCAAACUUUUCUCUCUCUUCCGGAUGCCAGCUUCGACUUUGGACACUUCGUUAUCUCUCUGUCGGAAUUCUUCUGCAGCGGUUUUCAUCCAAGUAGUCAGUCCUCUAAAGUUUUUUUUUCUUUACUCUCUUACAAGAGAGAAGGGGGGCUUCAGUGCUACACCUGCCCCCGGCCCAGGGUCGGGGCAGGAGGGGGCCUGGCUGUAGGAGAAUUAGGAACCUUUUGGGUUGAGGCAGGAGUGGACCAGUUGAUGGGAAUCUGAGGAACUUCAAGGACUAAGUGUUUUGAGAACAUGACAAGUGUUUUGAGAACUGGACAUCUGGAAGAAGGAAGAAAAACAGCACCUGCAAUGGGAGGAUGAGUUGGACCCUGCCAGGAGGCAUGGGAAUAGAAGUGUUGUGGUUAGAUUUAGAAGGAAAAGAAUUUAGAAAAUAAGAUAUGUUAGCUAGCCAAUAAUAAUCGUGUGAACAGUGUAUGUUUUGUAUGUGUGACCAAUAAUAGGUUAAGUAGUCAAAUAUGUAGUAGUUAUUGAAUUGUAUAAAAGUGUAAUUUCCAAUAAAGAUGGAGCUUCCAAACAUCA